CGCCUUAUCAGCCAGCUCCAGACCAACAGAGCCCUUCAUAUCCGAGCUGGAAAUACACAGGGCUUCCAGUAACAGGCCUCGCCCAUGGAGCUCUAGCCACAGGAUAACAGCAUGAGCAUGACAGACAGUAUCGGACCUGGACCAUAGCCCGAACAGCAGGUAUUCCCAUUGUGCAUAAGUGGCCUAUCUGAAUCUUUUAUCACACACAACACUGCAAUUUCAAAUGCCAUAAGAGCCACAAGACAAGAGGUAUGUCAGCUUGCCAUAAAUCCAGAGUUCAAAGCAACCAUGAAAACACAAGAUGGCCUGCUUUUCUCUUCCUUAAAGGAAUUCUGGGAGUUGUUUAUAUGAAUUGAGGUUGUUUGUAGCACUCUGGGAGCGUAAGCCAUUCUAAGCAGGAGCAGAGGUUGAGGUUGGAAUGUCAGUGAGGGCCACGGACGACAAACUCUGUGGCAGGACUCCAGAAAACGAUCCCGGGAAGAGCCAGGCCACUGGAGAGAGUCCACUGGAGUCUGCACUAAUGCAUGCUCAAACUAAUGAUGGAGACAAGAAAUGCUCAUCCACUUAUCUUGCUCCCUCGUUUGUAGAGAGUUAGUCAGUCAAUCAGUUACAGACUGAGAAAAAGUUGUUGGCCCAUAACACAUACUUCCCUGUGUACAACAAUUUAAACUAAAAGAAAAGCUGCAAAUGCUUGUAAAUAAUGCACUGUUCUAAUAUGCAGUAAGUGAUCACAUUAGCAAAAUAUUGACCUUUAUAUUUGAAAAAAUAUUGGAUGAUCUGUAAGAUCUAUUUCUUCAAUAGAUCAAUGUGAUUUUGCCACA